rnacentral:lncRNA from 1 species
AUGGGACUUGAACUUGGAGAAGUUGCUGAAGAUGAUGUGUCUGUGACUUCAGCAGUUGUGCUUGUGCCUUCAGAAUUGGAUGACGACACAGUCGUGGGACUUGAAGUAGCUGAAGAUGAUGUGUCUGUGACUUCUGCAGUUGUGCUUGUCCCUUCGGAUGUGGAUGACGAGACAGUCGUGGGAAUUGAACUUGGAGAAGUUGCUGAAGAUGAUGUUGCUGUGACUUCAGCAAUUGUGCUUGUCCCUUCAGAAGUGGAUGACGACACAAUCGUGGGACUUGAACUAGGAGAAGUUGCUGAAGAUGAUGUUGCUGUGACUUCAGCAGUUGUGCUUGUCCCUUCAGAAGUGGAUGCUGACACAGUCGUGGGACUUGAACUAGGAGAAAUUGCUGAAGAUGUUGUGGCUGUGACUUCAGCAGUUGUAAUUGUGCCUUCAGAAGUGGAUGACGACACAGUCGUGGGACUUGAAGUAGCUGAAGAUGAUGUGUCUGUGACUUCAGCAGUUGUGCUUGUCCCUUCAGAAGUGGAUGACGACACAGUCGUGGAACUUGAACUUGGAGAAAUUGCUGAAGAUGUUGUGGCUGUGACUUUAGCAGUUGUGCUUGUCCCUUCAGAAGUGGAUGACGACACAGUCGUGGGACUUGAAGUAGCUAAAGAUGAUGUGUCUGAGACUUCUGCUGUUGUGCUUGUCCCUUCUGAUGUGGAUGACGACACAGUCGUGGGACUUGAACUUGGAGAAGUUGCUGAAGAUGAUGUGGCUGUGACUUCAGCAGUUGUGCUUGUGCCUUCAGAAGUGGAUGACGACACAGUCGUGGGACUUGAAGUAGCUGAAGAUGAUGUGUCUGUGACUUCUGCAGUUGUGCUUGUCCCUUCUGAUGUGGAUGACGACACAGUCGUGGGACUUGAACUUGGAGAAGUUGCUGAAGAUGAUGUGUCUGUGACUAACUGCAGUAGUGCUUGUCCCUUCGGAUGUGGAUACGAGACAGUCGUGGGACUUGAACUUGGAGAAGUUGCUGAAGAUGAUGUGUCUGUGAUUCAGCAGUUGUGCUUGUCCUUCAGAAGUGGAUGA